ensembl:lncRNA
CUUAACUGCUAACAAGGUCUAAAUGAAACCAUGGCCAUAGAUAAUGUUUGUUUCUUGCCUGGUGACUGUCCUGACAGGGGGCUGUCUAGUCGGGGGGUUGAUAAAGCUUAGCAUUCACAGGAAUUGGGAGCCAUGGAUGAAGAGACUCCAGCUGUCUGCCAACCAGAACCUGGUCGAUCUUUGGCAAAGUGGUUGACAGCUCCUACUUUGAGACAGUUGGGAAGGCUUGGGGAGAAGACAGGCAGAUCUUCCUAUUGCAAACCCUCUCCCAGAGCACUUGAUGAGCAGAAGAAUGAGAGCCAAAAGGGCAGCAUGUGAAACCCUCCAGCCUCCUCUCUUCCUUGCAGCUUGUUCUCCUGUGACCUUGCACGAAGCUGCUGUCCAUGUGGACAAGUAACCCAUCCAAGAAUAAGACUGUAUCCAGUUGGGGAAGAGCUGACUGUCUCCUUCUCUGAGGGUCCCUGAAGAAGACACGCUUGAGAGCUUGAGCAAGAGAAAAAAACCCUGUGCUCAGAUCCCAAUGAACUCGUCUGCUUCUCCUUGAACUUUUUGCAAUAUCAUCUAUGUUGGAAAUGAUCAUUUAAAGCCACAGUCUAGCAUAAUGUUUACAUCCCGAGGGUUGGAAUUGGAGUCAUUAAGUCUUGCAGACAACAAGGUAAUGUUCAACUACCGCUCUUCUAGGAGGGGGUGUCAUUUAGCACACUGCAGGGUGCUGAUGCGAGCUGCAUCCUGGGAACCUGAAAACUCUGGUACCUCUUUGUUGACCUAGGGUUCACCUUGUCUUUUUUGGAGUAGCCUGGCAAUGUGAUCUGCUCAUUUUCUUACGUUAAGUAGCUAGAUUUUCUUUGAAUUACUUGCAUUAGUGGAAAGAAUAAUAGGCUCUGGGAGAAGAUAGACCAGGGUAUGUGCUGUAGACAUAUUACUUCCCAGCCAUAUGACGUUGGGCAAGUUGUUUAAUUUCUCUUGAUCUUCUUUCCCUUUCUUCACCUAAAUUAUGGAGUUAUAAAAUGUCUCCUGCCUCUGGGUUUUGGGAGCUGAUACAAUGAAACAGUAGAUGUAAGGUAUCAUGCUGGUGCAACCUGGACAGGCAAAAAGCAUACUUUCUGGCACAGCUUGCAUCUCACUUCUCUCUGUGGACAUAUUAAUUCUCCUUAGUACAAAUCACAGGUGAUUACACUUAAAUGAAAGUUCUCUUCCAUAAGCCCAGAGCUGUGAGGAUUCUGUUUUUCCCCAGUUGACUGAGUGAGGUAGAGGGCAAAGGAAAGUAAGUGAUGUUAAUACCUGACACCACUCAUGUCCUCAUGGCGAUCUCCUGGUAACCAGAUAACUUCCUUCUAGCUGCACGUGUGACUAAAUUUACGUAGUCAACGAAGAAGUAAGACUAAGAUGAGAUGGGAGGAGAGCCUGCCUCCAGAUAUUGAAUAUCCUUGCCUGUGAGAGUCUUAAACAAAAAUUAAAAACCUAAGUCUUCAUUUUAAGGGAUUUUACCACAGCCAAUGCUCGGAAUCAUACUGAUAUACCUCCAUUAAACAUCAACCAGCCUAGAAACCACUAAUCCUAAAUGAUUGUCUAACAACUAAAGGAAAGAAACCAGAUGAAGAUCACUUCAUUUUGAUGAAGAAAUCUAUAGUAAUUAAACAUUAAUUUGAAGUAAAGAGGAGCGAGUCUUACCCCCCCCCCCACUUCCCCAUUUUUCAGAGUCUCUGUAUAAAUAGUGAUCAUUCUUUCCUCUACUCAUCAGCUGGUUGGGUUCCUCUGCUUGGUGACUUGCCAAUGUUGUGGGGCUUGGUGUAGCGGAACCCGGGUUCUAGUCAUAGCUCUAACACUCGGUAGAUGUGUGACAUCACCUACCUUUAUUCUGCUGUUUAGGAAACUGAGCCCCGGGGAAGUUAAUGCCGUCCUUGCCAAGGUCUUGAGGGAUUCAACUAGAUAAUUUCUGAAAAACAUCUGGGAUAUAGGAGGUGCUAAGUAAAUAAGAUUUUCUAUAGUGACUGUAAAUCAUGCUCGCCUCUGCUCAGGAAAGAGAAUCUCAGGAAAAGCUUGAGGAGGCCUGUCACCCUCACCUCUCUAUUUGUGUUGAAGAAGCUAAGUAGCAUAACCAGCCUAAUUCUGGUAUACUAUGUCAAGAACUGGAAAUGCCCACAGGUCAAAAGAUUUUAGUAACAUAUUGUUUUUUUAAAAACAUUCUAGAUGGGCACUUGGAUAUAGCUGUAGCUUGGUCAACAGGUUGGUUAACUUGUUGAAUGCCCCAAUCUAUACUCCUGGUUACUGCCUUCUCUCAGACUUCUGACUUUCAACUUGUUCUAUUCCAUUGCCAACCUUACAUAUGCAGAAUGCCCUCCCUAGUCUUCAGCCAAUUCAAGUUCCUUAUCUGCAGAUAUUGAAGUUGAACCUUCUCAAGAUGGUUUUGCACGGUUUAAUCAUCAUUCCUGCACACACCCUCUUCUAACCUUUGUAUAAUCUUGGACUAGAACAGUGAUUCUCUAGCAAAAUAACCCCCAGGGGACAUUUGGCAAUAUCUGAGGACAGUUCUGGUAGUCACAACUGAGUGAAAGCAACGCUAAUGGCAUCUAGCAGAAGAGGCCAGGGAUAUUGCUAAACAUACAGCAUGCACAGGACUGCCCUCCGGAACAAAGACUUAGCCAGCUUAAAAUGUUCAAAGCCCUGAGAUUGAGAAACUCUGAGGUUGGGUGACUACAGAUUUUUUUAAUCUAAGCUGGACAUUCUGGGAAGUGAAUGAUGGUGCUCUUAACAAUGAAGCUCACAUAGCAGGUGUAACCUGGGACUUAGUAUUGCAGGCAUAUGGGAUCUGUGGAUCUGUGGGAUCUGAGUUUGUUUUCUUUUGGACUGGGGAGGUACUGUUUAUAAGUAUAAUUUUAAUUUGCUUUCUUGACUUGCUUUUGGGCGUUUUUCACCAGUUAGACUCUUAGCCACCCUGAGAUAGGAGGUGCAGACUCCGUAUCUUUCUCUUUUCCUUCUAGGACAUUAUACAGAAUACCUACUUGAUAAACCUUCUUGACUGACUGUGCUUAUUUGUAAUCUCUGUUCACAAUUGGGUCCUUGACAAAACCUACUAUAAACUUCUCAACCAGCAAUUAUAUUAUACAUCAAAAGUGUGGGUGAAAUGAUGGAGAAGAAUUCAACAAAUAGCAUUGCUCAUAAUGUAGAGAAGAUUCUAUCUUCUAUAAUAUGUAAUUUGAUGAAAUAUGCUAAGCAAGGUACAAUCCCUAUAAUUGGUACUUAUUUAAAUUACUCAUGUUUACUGUAAAUGUUUUUACUGUAAAAAAUGUGUUUCUAUUGAAUUAGAUAAAAUUUUAUUAUUGAAAGCAUGGUUAAACAAUUAAAAUGAACAAAGAUUCCCUAAAUCCUGCUCAGGAUAGAGUAGAUAUAUAAUAACUAUUAGUUCUGUUUGCCUUCCAUUACAUGUAACACUUCAACAAUCACUUUAAGCCAUUGAAAUUGUUUUAUACAUUUUUAAAGUAUUGAUUCUAGGUGAUUUUUAACAUUACUGAAGAUGGGUAAAAUUGAUUGGUAUAGGGGCACCUGGGUGGCUCAGUUGAUUAAGUGUCUGCCUUCCGCUCAGGUCCUGGGAUCGAGGCCUGAGUGGGUCUCCCCUUCUCAGAUGCCUGGCCCUCCUCUUUGCCCACUCCCCGCCCCCUGAGUGUGCAUGCAUGCUGGUGCUUUCUCUCUCUCUCUCUCUCAAACAAAAAAAUCUUUUAAAAAGUUGGUUGGUAUAUUAGUUUUGCAGGGCUCUGUAACAAAUCACCACAGACUGGGUGGCUCAAGUGAUAGAAAUGAUAGUCUUAGAUUAAGACUUAAAUGAUAGAAAGUUAUAGUCUCACAGCUCUGGACGCUAGAAGUCCAAAAUCAAGGUAUUGGCAGCUCUGGUUCCCUUUGAGGGCCAUGAGGAAGGAUUGGUUCUAGGCCCCUCUCCUUGGCCCUUGGGAGACAUCUUCUUCCCUCUAUAUGUAUUUCUGUGCUUUAAUUUCUUUUUUCUUUAUUAUUUUUUAAAAAUAUUUUAUUUAUUUAUUAAUGAGAGACACAGACAGAGAGGCAGAGACACAGGCAGAGGGAGAUGCAGGCUUUUUGUGGGUAGCCCGAUGUGGGACUCGAUCCCAGGACCCUGGGAUCACGACCUGAGCUGAAGACAGAGGCUCAAACACUGAGCCACCCAGGAGUCCCUUAAUUUCCCUUUUAUACAAGGAUACCAGUUAUACUGGAUUAGGGCCCAUUCUGAAGAACUCAUUUUAACUUGAUUAUCUCUGUAAAGACCCUGUCCCCAAAUAAGGUCUCAUUCUGAGGUACCGGGUAUUAGGACUUCAACAUAUUAAUUUAGGGAGUACACUUCUACCCAUCACAGCUAAUUAAAGAAACGACAUAAAGAGAUUAUGAGCUACAUUUAAAUUUUAUACAAAGGGUAAUUUCAUAGUACCUUAGAAUAAAGAGAACAUUGUGGAGUCA